AUUACUCCUACGGGAGGCAGCAGUAAGGAAUAUUGGUCAAUGGACGAAAGUCUGAACCAGCCAUGCCGCGUGAAGGAUGACGGCCCUCUGGGUUGUAAACUUCUUUUAUCUGGGACGAAAAAAGGGAAUUCUUUCUCACUUGACGGUACCAGAGGAAUAAGCACCGGCUAACUCCGUGCCAGCAGCCGCGGUAAU
rnacentral:rRNA from 1 species